UACGUAGGGGGCAAGCGUUGUCCGGAUUUAUUGGGCGUAAAGAGCGUGUAGGCGGCCAGGUAGGUCUGCUGUGAAAACUCGAGGCUUAACCUCGAGAUGUCGGCGGAAACCAUCUGGCUAGAGUCCGGAAGAGGAGAAUGGAAUUCCCGGUGUAGCGGUGAAAUGCGCAGAUAUCGGGAAGAACACCCGUGGCGAAGGCGGUUCUCUGGGACGGUGACUGACGCUGAGACGCGAAAGCGUGGGGAGCGAACAGG
rnacentral:rRNA from 1 species